rnacentral:rRNA from 1 species
ACUCCUGCGGGAGGCAGCAGUGGGGAAUAUUGGACAAUGGGCGCAAGCCUGAUCCAGCCAUGCCGCGUGAGUGAUGAAGGCCCUAGGGUUGUAAAGCUCUUUCACCGGUGAAGAUAAUGACGGUAACCGGAGAAGAAGCCCCGGCUAACUUCGUGCCAGCAGCCGCGGUAAUACGAAGGGGGCUAGCGUUGUUCGGAUUUACUGGGCGUAAAGCGCACGUAGGCGGACUAUUAAGUCAGGGGUGAAAUCCCGGGGCUCAACCCCGGAACUGCCUUUGAUACUGGUAGUCUUGAGUUCGAGAGAGGUGAGUGGAAUUCCGAGUGUAGAGGUGAAAUUCGUAGAUAUUCGGAGGAACACCAGUGGCGAAGGCGGCUCACUGGCUCGAUACUGACGCUGAGGUGCGAAAGCGUGGGGAGCAAACAGGAUUAGAAACCCCUGUAGUCCCAUG